GUCUACGGCCAUUUUACUCUGAACAAGCCCAAUGUCUGAUCUCAGAAGCUACACAGGGUUGGGCCUGGUUAGUACUUGGAUGGGAGACCACCUAGGAAGACCAGGUGCUGUAGGCA
rnacentral:rRNA from 1 species